AAUCGAAUUGUACACACAGAUCAGUAUAACACCACCACCCACCCCCGAGCCAAACUGCUUGCGUCAUGCAAUUUGUCUUACCACUGCGGUGUGUGCGGUAGAACGCGAGCCACGAAAGCGCUUGCAUUUGAACAUCAGUUCUGAUGGCAUUGAUGUUCCUAUCCAGGUUUGCACUGAGAAACGAAACUUUGAAGUCUUGCAGUUUCUUUUCCUCCUAAACUGUCUUUGAGACACUGCGAGACACAUCCUUUGUAUUUUUUUUUGUUAACUCAAUAUGGAAAAGAAAAAGGACCAACAAACUACGCCUAUAUGCCUUGUAUUUUUCUUGUUUGCGUUCAUGCAGUUCUUUCAUUCACUUCAUCACAAGUGUCUGCGCCAUCGUUGGUGGACUCUUCACGGUGUCGAGCCUGGUGGACUCUCUCAUCUACAACGCUCAGCGUGCACUGCAAAAGAAAAUUGAGCUGGGCAAGGCAUCAUGACCUAACCACGAGAGCUACUUAUGGAUCUCGACAGCAGUACAGAUAGCAGAUCCGCAGCCCCGGGGGGUUUCCCCCCUGUGUUGUAUCCUGUGCACCAUGAGGUGAGGUGCGCUGCUGCGCUGGCAAAGAAUAUCCUUUGCGGCAACCAGCCUGCCUGCCUGCAUGCUAGCCAUGCCGGCAUGUGUCCACUCUACUCUGCUCUCAUCGUCCAGCCGUAGAACUGCCUCACACUGACUGCUCUGGCCCCCUCUUGACUGACUGCCCUGCUGAUGAGGCCACUCGUCCGCUCAUUUGAGAAUCGGACUUACGCUUGCGACUGACAUCAGGACUCUUUUUUCUUUUCUUUUCUCUCGCUUAGUAUUGUGACCGCGAUUUUGGUUUUAAUGGCUUCGUGUAUGCUUAUUAUUGUUUAGGUAGUAUUUAAGGAUGGCGAGUGCACCUCUUCAACAGCCAGCCAUCGUCUUGCUCUCAUCUGACAAACUUACCUCUAAGACUUCUGAAUAGUAUUAGUGUUUUAGAUGAGUGUAAUAAAAUCAAGAGUGUUGAUUGCGAGAGCAUGGAACUUGUA